rnacentral:rRNA from 1 species
AGAUUGAACGCUGGCGGCAUGCCUAACACAUGCAAGUCGAACGGGAGUAGCAAUACUCUAGUGGCGGACGGGUGAGGAAUACGUAGGAAUUUGCCCUUAAGUGGGGGAUAACCCGGGGAAACCCGGAUUAAUACCGCAUGACCUCGAAAGAGCAAAGUGGGGGAUCGCAAGACCUCACGCUUUUGGAGAAGCCUACGUCAGAUUAGCUAGUUGGUGAGGUAAUGGCUCACCAAGGCGACGAUCCGUAACUGGUCUGAGAGGAUGAUCAGUCACACCGGAACUGAGACACGGUCCGGACUCCUACGGGAGCAGCAGUGGGGAAUAUUGGACAAUGGGCGCAAGCCUGAUCCAGCAAUGCCGCGUGUGUGAAGAGCUUCGGUUGUAAGCACUUUAAGUUAGGGAAGAAAAACGUACGACGUACUAACACAGUGAGUCUUAGACGUACCGAACAGAAUAAGACACCGGACUAACGUACUGU